AGAAAUCCAUACUGUUUGUUGCUUUAAAAUAGCUAGUAUACGUGAAUCAUUACUACCUGGCUAGCCGUGAAAGAAGUGAAUACCGAUUUAUUCGGCUGUCUAUAAAUAUGUCAUGCGUACAAGCGUACAUAAAUACUGUAUAUAAUAUACUUGCCUGCAACAUAUUUCAUUCGAUCUUCUGGAGUGUCCUGGCGAGCUGCUUGUGUCAAAAGUUGUGCAUACUCCAUAUAUUCGCAUAGCCUCUGCAGGAAGCUCAGGGGUUCGUUUAGCAUUACCGGCAUGGUAAUUUUACUCAAAUCCUUUCCAAUGCAGUUCUUGAGGAUAGCCCAGAUACUUACUUCCCUCCGUGAUAUCAUUGGAGCUGGAAGCUCGGUUCUGCGAAGGCGAAAUGUUAUUAUUACAACCGAAAGUAAUAUUUUAAUUUUGUAUUCUUACAGUUUGAAGCAACGGAACUUACCUUUCGACACGUUCGAUAAAAUCUUCCUCUGCCAUUUUUGAAUUUAUUGAAUUGAUCGUAUACUAUUGAUUGACUUUUGUGCUGUUGGUUUGAACACGUUAAAACAGUUGAAUCUGCUUCUACAAAUACUUAUGUGGUAGCGUUGGGAAGAGACAUGUGGGAGAAUGAGUCCAAACUCUGAAAAGGGUUAAGUAAAGUAGGUAAGGCAUUAGAUUAGUUAGCUACUUGAUUACACAUUCACACAUCUAUACAUACUAUAUACAUAUGUACGUAUGCGUGUCACCAGAAGUGUCUGUCUGCUUUUGAACCUAGCUGUUAAUUGUUGGACUGUAAAUCUUGUGACCAAAAAGUGUCGUUCAUUUAUAUUCCAAGUGCAAAUAAAUGCUCUGAUGUAUGUUUCAGGUGUUUACAAAAUUUCAACCUCCGAUUUUAUUUUCGUUACAUUGUGAUAAGCCAGUGGUUUGGAUUAAUAUACAUUCUUAAAUUUUCGUGUUGUAUCUGCCACUUACUUCUGAGUUUCAGCUUCUUGGAAAAAUUUAAUCAAUAGAGUGAUAAGAAAGCUUUUAACAGCUUUGAAAACUGGAGCUUUUCUUCAGAGAUGAUUUUAUUGAAUCGAUUCAUGAGUUCAAGUGCACCGAUUUUUAUUAAAUAUAAAUACAUACAUACAUACACACCUAAAAAUACAUGCAUACAUAUAUGUGUGCGCACACAAAUUGGCCUUUAUCAAACAAUUAAUAAAGCUGUGGCAGCCGAGUGUUUUGACUCGACAGUAAAAUGCCCUUUAUUCUGAUUUUAUUUACGGCGGAGCGGAAAGCUUUAAUUCCGAAAUGACCAAAUGCAUUGCGGUCAUAAAUGUUUACACAUUCUGUGCUCUGUGAAACACCUGAUGACCUUUAUCUAUUUUUGACUCGGGGAAAAAUAUAUAUCUAUAAAUUUA